rnacentral:tRNA from 1 species
AAAAAGUUAGUUAAAUUAUAAUAUAAGCUUGUCAGCCUUACGUUACUAGCUAAAUUAGUACUUUUUA